UGAUCAUGGCUCAGGACGAACGCUGGCGGCGCGCCUAACACAUGCAAGUCGAACGAGCGAGAGAGAGCUUGCUUUCUCGAGCGAGUGGCGAACGGGUGAGUAACGCGUGAGGAACCUGCCUCAAAGAGGGGGACAACAGUUGGAAACGACUGCUAAUACCGCAUAAGCCCACAGGUCGGCAUCGACCAGAGGGAAAAGGAGCAAUCCGCUUUGAGAUGGCCUCGCGUCCGAUUAG
rnacentral:rRNA from 1 species